ensembl:snoRNA
GCACCUCAGUACAACCCUGUCGAUUCUCCCUUAUUGAUACGGGUCAUGCUGGUGCUAUAGAAACUCAAAGUAAAUCCAGAUGGACCUCCUCUUUCUGUGGAGCCUGUCUCUACAACUUUGAUACACAA